AUUGAACGCUGGCGGCAGGCCUAACACAUGCAAGUCGAGCGGAGCGGCGGACGGGUGAGUAAUGCCUAGGAAUCUGCCUGGUAGUGGGGGAUAACGUCCGGAAACGGGCGCUAAUACCGCAUACUAUCAGAUGAGUCUAGGUCGGAUUAGCUAGUUGGUGGGGUAAAGGCCUACCAAGGCGACGAUCCGUAACUGGUCUGAGAGGAUGAUCAGUCAAACCGGGACUGGGAAACCGGCCAGACUCCCACGGGAGGGAGCCGUUGGGAAAUUUGGGCAAUGGGCGAAAGCCCUAUCCAGGCAUGGCGCGGGUGGGAAGAAGGGUCUCGGAUUGUUAAGCACUUUAAGUUGGGAGGCGUUACCAACAGAAUAAGCACCGGCUAACUUCGUGCCAGCAGCCGCGGUAAUAC
rnacentral:rRNA from 1 species